rnacentral:rRNA from 1 species
CCUACGGGGGGCAGCAGUGAGGAAUAUUGGUCAAUGGACGCAAGUCUGAACCAGCCAUGCCGCGUGCAGGAAGACGGCUCUAUGAGUUGUAAACUGCUUUUGUACGAGGGUAAACGCAGAUACGCGUAUCUGUCUGAAAAUAUCGUACGAAUAAGGAUCGGCUAACUCCUUGCCAGCAGCCGCGGUACUACGGAGGAUUCAAGCGUUAUCCGGAUUUAUUGGGUUUAAAGGGUGCGUAGGCGGUCGGAUAAGUUAGAGGUGAAAUCCCGAGGCUCAACUUCGGAAUUGCCUCUGAUACUGUUCGGCUAGAGAGUAGUUGCGGUAGGCGGAAUGUAUGGUGUAGCGGUGAAAUGCUUAGAGAUCGUACAGAACACCGAUUGCGAAGGCAGCUUACCAAGCUACUUCUGACGUUGAGGCACGAAAGCGUGGGGAGCGAACAGGAUUAGAUACCCCAGUAGUC